rnacentral:tRNA from 1 species
GCCGCGGUGGCGGAAUUGGUUUACGCGUACGACUCAAAAUCGUAUGAGAGCAAUCUCAUGUGGGUUCGAGUCCCACCCGCGGCA